rnacentral:rRNA from 1 species
UACGGGGGGGGCAAGCGUUGUUCGGAAUUACUGGGCGUAAAGGGCUCGUAGGUGGCCAACUAAGUCAGACGUGAAAUCCCCAGGCUCAACUUGGGAACUGCGUCUGAUACUGGAUGGCUUGAGUGCAGGAGAGGAACGCGGAAUUCCAGGUGUAGCGGUGAAAUGCGUAGAUAUCGGGAGGAACACCAGUGGCGAAGGCGACUACCUGGCCUGUUCUUGACGCUGAGGCGCGAAAGCUAGGGGAGCAAACGGG